rnacentral:rRNA from 1 species
GACAGAGGUGCCGAGCGUUAGGCGGAAUCACUGGGCUUAAAGCGUGUGUAGGCGGAUCGUUAAGUAUCUUGUGAAAUCCCACGGCUUAACCGUGGAACUGCUGGGUAUACUGGCGAUCUUGAGGUGCUCAGGGGCGAGCGGAACAGAUGGUGGAGCGGUGAAAUGCGUAGAUAUCAUCUGGAACGCCUGCGGUGAAAACGGCUCGCUGGGAGCAAUCUGACGCUGAGACACGAAAGCCAGGGGAGCGAACGGG